UUUUUUUUUUAGGUUGAAUGCAAUUCUCGCCUGAAUCCUAUAAAUACAACUUUGCUAAAGAUGGCAGACUGUGGUGGACUGCCCCAAGUAGUUCAGCCUGGGAAGCUCACUGAGGCCUUCAAGUACUUUUUGCAGGGAAUGGGAUACAUACCAUCUGCCAGCAUGACCCGGCUCGUCCGAUCACG